GCAUGGCAUGUGGAUUGGGUAGCUGUCAAGAGAGAAAGCUGGCACCUGAUGAGCUGUAGCGCACAGGUGAGCACAUUCACCUUGUGGUGAGUGAGCUCCCGUGUGCCUCGUGAGCAUCCGCACUAGCAGUGCCGGUGAGUGUUCUGGGAGUGUUCCGGUGCAGUGCAGCCUUAAAUCCUGAGUAAAGAAUAUCCUGAGAGAGCACAAGAAAGGAUGAAAAAUAUCUCCAUACAAGAUUAUCUGGAAAAUUGAUCCAAGCAGGAUGAGAUACCAUGUAGUAGUAUUCAGUCUUCAGAGUUGGUGGUCUGAACUUGAAAUUUUUCAGUUAUUCUACAUCAAGUCCUGAACUACUGGUUAGUGUGAAGAAGGAAGGAGCAGGACGUCUGCUGAGGCUAGAAGCAGUGAGGCUGUCACUAGCAGGCUGGGGACCUGAGAAGCACUGUGGAUGGGCGGAAGCAGCUGCACUAGGGACCUCAGAAGUGGACACCUGGAGAAGACACAUGUCCAAGGCACUUGGGAGCCAACAGAAAUUGAUCUUAGCUGGGGAUUAGAUGGAUGCUUAUUCUCUCUCUCUCUCUCUCUCUCUCUCUCUCUCUCUCUCUCCC